UUUUGUGAUAAUCAUCGUCAUAACAUUGUUUUGUUAUAGUGCCUUGAUGACUAUUUGUACCACACUGCAGGAGGCAACAGGUACCAGCUGCAUGUAUGUAUGUUUCACAUUGUCAUCUUCUUAGCAAUGGAAUAUGUGAUUAUGAUCCAAGGCUCUAAAUCUUUUUGAUGAUUAACAUCGAUCUGGCCAUGGAAUAUUGAAGCUCAAGUAUUGACUUGUUUUGCGUUGUUGAAGAAACAUUAAUUUUACGAAGUGGCUACGGAACCGGUACCGGUUUCCAUUUUCAAGGUCUUUUAGAACCGGCAUGAUCACGUGGUGCCUAAACCACGCCCAUUUUAACGAGCUAAUUAAAUAGUAAUUAUUGAUUAAUCAUUAUCUGAAAUUAACUUCCUUAUUUUCUUUCUUUAAUUUUGUUUAUCUCACAAUUAUUCAUCAUUGUUUCUUUGAAUUCACUCUUUUUAUUGUUAUAGUUUAUCAAAGUACUUUUUUAAUCCAAA